rnacentral:rRNA from 1 species
AGAGUUUGAUCAUGGCUCAGGAUGAACGCUAGCGGCAGGCCUAAUACAUGCAAGUCGAACGGAUAUGAGGACUUCGGUUCUCAUGUUAGUGGCGCACGGGUGCGUAACGCGUAUGCAACCUACCUUUUACUGGGGGAUAGCCCGGAGAAAUCCGGAUUAAUACCGCAUAACACUAUUUGAGGGCAUCCGAAGAUAGUUAAAGAUUUAUUGGUAAAAGAUGGGCGUGCGUGCCAUUAGCUAGUUGGUGGUGUAACGGACCACCAAGGCGACGAUGGCUAGGGGUUCUGAGAGGAUGAUCCCCCACACUGGUACUGAGAUACGGACCAGACUCCUACGGGAGGCAGCAGUAGGGAAUAUUGGGCAAUGGAGGCAACUCUGACCCAGCCAUGCCGCGUGCAGGAUGAAGGCCUUCUGGGUUGUAAACUGCUUUUAUCUAGGAAGAAAAAACCCUUGCGAGGGGGAACUGACGGUACUAGGUGAAUAAGCACCGGCUAACUCCGUGCCAGCAGCCGCGGUAAUACGGAGGGUGCAAGCGUUGUCCGGAUUUAUUGGGUUUAAAGGGUGCGUAGGCGGCCCGUUAAGUCCGUGGUGAAAGCCAACAGCUCAACUGUUGAACUGCCAUGGAUACUGACGGGCUUGAGUACAGACGAGGUAGGCGGAAUGGAUGGUAGCGGUGAAAUGCAUAGAUACCAUCCAGAACACCGAUUGCGUAGGCAGCUUACUAGGCUGUAACUGACGCUGAGGCACGAAAGCGUGGGGAGCGAACAGGAUUAGAUACCCCAGUAGUCC